rnacentral:rRNA from 1 species
UACGUAGGGACCAAGCGUUGUUCGGAUUUACUGGGCGUAAAGGGCGCGUAGGCGGCGCGGUAAGUCACUUGUGAAAUCUCUGAGCUUAACUCAGAACGGCCAAGUGAUACUGCAGUGCUAGAGUGUGGAAGGGGCAAUCGGAAUUCUUGGUGUAGCGGUGAAAUGCGUAGAUAUCAAGAGGAACACCUGAGGUGAAGACGGGUUGCUGGGCUGAUACUGACGCUGAGGCGCGAAAGCUAGGGUAGCAAACGGG